rnacentral:tRNA from 1 species
GGGCUUGUGGUCUAGGGGUUAUGACGUCGCCUUCACACGGCGGAGGUCGCCGGUUCAAAUCCGGCCGAGCCCACCA